CGAACCUAAAAUACUGAGAGGGAAGCAAAGGAAAGGAAACGGGCCUAGGACACCCCUUUAAAGUUUGUGCACAAAGUCCGGACGAAGACGCAGGACGCGUAAGUAUAAGGGAUCCGUUCGGGCGGGGUCGGGAUCCCGGAGUGUGACGAGUGUGUGAGUUGUGUGAGAGGAGAGCUGGCAGCCGGACCCUCCAAGUGAGUGUGGACCCUCAGUAGUGCGGUUCCCAAAGCCCGCGAGGGCCUGGGCCACGAACCAGGGGAAGUGUUUGUAUUGAGUGAUUGAAGGCACUCCGGAGGAAAUGGGGCAGGGGAAGAGUAAAUCCCCCUCCUCGAUGGGGGUAAAACUCCCUCCGAUUCCUAAGGAUAGCCCUUUAGGAUUUAUGCUAAAAAAUUGGGAACACUUUUCAGGUACAUCAGGGAAGGAUAAGGCAAAAAUGAUACACUACUGUGUGGAAGUAUGGGGAGGAAAGGAAAUUUCCAAGAGUGUUUUCUGGCCUAUAUUUGGGUCUUCAGAAGAUUGGGUAAAACAACUUUUGAAUAUCUGGGUAAACACCAAGCAACCCCCUAAUCCUGAGGAAAGUGACUAUGCCCGGGUGUGGAUGGGACGACCAGAGGCUUUUAUUUUUAAACUUUCUGCAAAAUCGGAGGGGAAAAAGAAGGGGCGGCCGGAGGAACUGAUAGUUGCACCCCCUCCCUAUGUUCCUCCUGCACCCAACGCACCCCCUCCCUCACCACCUCUACCAUCGGAUGAAUCCGACUCGGACUCUGACCAACUAUCUGGUCGACACGGUCCAGUCACCCGCAGUAAAACACGAGGCAGACUAUUCCCCUUGAGGGAAAUGCCCAUGGGUGGGCCACAACCUGGAAUUGGGUUUAUUUCUGUCCCUUUGAGCUCGGGAGAUGUUAGAGACUUCAAGAAGGAAAUGGGAAACCUGUUAGAAGAUCCAUUAGGUGUAGCAGAAAGAGUGGAUCAAUUCCUGGGACCUAACAUUUACACCUGGGAGGAACUGCAGUCCAUUUUAAACAUACUGUUUACAGUCGAAGAAAAGAACAUGAUUAGGACUGCAGGAAUGCGGGUCU
rnacentral:lncRNA from 1 species